rnacentral:rRNA from 2 species
GAAUUGAUGCAUCGGUCGUGCCUUAAGGGGCAUGAACUGGUGUAGCCAAUUUCUCACCUUCUGGUGAAUUGUUGAUGUUCUUAAUGGGUGUCUCAAUGAACUAGAAUUUUUUACUUUGAAAAAAUUAGAGUGUUUAAAGCAGGCAUUAAUUUGCUUGAAUACAUUAGCAUGGAAUAAUGAAAUAGGACAGUGGUUCCGUUUUGUUGGUUUCUAGGAUCACGUAAUGAUUAAUAGGGAUAGUUG